ACUUGUGUUUCCCCCCUCGGCUCUUUGUUGAGGCUUCAUCCUGGGUCCACUGCUAUCCUGUGGAUUUUCUUCAUAUCCAUAUCUAUUUUUGUUGCCUGCCUUUUUGUUUAUCACAUUUUCGGAUUAUUGGACUGUUUUCUCUGCUUUCAUUAAGCUUUUGGUGGUGGACCUGCGUGCCCUCUUGUUCUCAUUUGGAUCCUGUUUUUGAAAACCUGACAUGUACAAGCUCAAGAAAAGAUCAAUACCGGCUGUCCGUGACCAGACUUCAAACUGUGGAGAGACACAAGGAAGGAGCUGAUAAGAUGGGAAAAGUCACUGGGGACAAGGCAGGCCUAAUGAGGCUGAUGCAGGACAGGCGCGGAGGAGAAUCAGGCUGCACAGCGACACAGGAGGGAAACAGAGCACCGGAAACACAGGCGAAGCAAAUUGCAACAGAAAGGCAGCAAAAGCAGAACUGUAAACAAGCUAUUGAUGGCUGAGGUAGAUUUCUACAGGAGGUCUGCAUAUUUUGCCAAAGAGAAUAAAGUAUUGUUUUUCUUUCUUUUUUCAUUACCAUAAAAUAUUUUAUUCAACCGGCGUUCA